rnacentral:rRNA from 1 species
AUUAAACGCUGGCGGCAUGCCUUACACAUGCAAGUCGAACGGCAGCACGGGGGCAACCCUGGUGGCGAGUGGCGAACGGGUGAGUAAAGCAUCGGAACGUGCCCUGGAGUGGGGGAGUAACGUAGCGAAAGUUACGCUAAUACCGCAUAUUCUGUGAGCAGGAAAGCAGGGGAUCGCAAGACCUUGCGCUCUGGGAGCGGCCGAUGUCGGAUUAGCUAGUUGGUGGGGUAAAGGCCUACCAAGGCGACGAUCCGUAGCGGGUCUGAGAGGAUGAUCCGCCACACUGGGACUGAGACACGGCCCAGACUCCUACGGGAGGCAGCAGUGGGGAAGUUUUGGUACAAUGGGCGGAAAGACCUGAUCCAGCCAUGCCGCGUGAGUGAAGAAGGCC